GAUGAACGCUGGCGGCGUGCUUAACACAUGCAAGUCGAACGAAGCACCUUGAUUCGAUUCUUCGGAUGAAGAUCUUGGUGACUGAGUGGCGGACGGGUGAGUAACGCGUGGGUAACCUGCCUCAUACAGGGGGAUAACAGUUAGAAAUGACUGCUAAUACCGCAUAAGACCACAGCACCGCAUGGUGCAGGGGUAAAAACUCCGGUGGUAUGAGAUGGACCCGCGUCUGAUUAGGUAGUUGGUGGGGUAACGGCCUACCAAGCCGACGAUCAGUAGCCGACCUGAGAGGGUGACCGGCAACAUUGGGACUGAGACACGGCCCAAACUCCUACGGGAGGCAGCAGUGGGGAAUAUUGCACAAUGGGGGAAACCCGGAUGCAGCGACGCCGCGUGAGCGAUGAAGUAUUUCGGUAUGUAAAGCUCUAUCAGCAGGGAAGAAAAUGACGGUACCUGACUAAGAAGCACCGGCGAAAUACGU
rnacentral:rRNA from 1 species